rnacentral:rRNA from 1 species
UACGUAGGGUGCAGGCGUUAAUCGGAAUUACUGGGCGUAAAGCGUGCGCAGGCGGUUUGCUAAGACAGGUGUGAAAUCCCCGGGCUUAACCUGGGAACUGCGUUUGAAACUACAAGGCUAGAGUGUGGCAGAGGGGAGUGGAAUUCCACGUGUAGCAGUGAAAUGCGUAGAGAUGUGGAGGAACACCGAUGGCGAAGGCAGCCCCCUGGGUUAACACUGACGCUCAGGCACGAAAGCGUGGGGAGCAAACAGG